rnacentral:rRNA from 1 species
UACGUAGGGGGCGAGCGUUACCCGGAUUUACUGGGCGUAAAGGGGGCGUAGGCGGCCGUGCAAGUCCGGUGUGAAAACUCACGGCUCAACCGUGGGACUGCGCUGGAAACUACACGGCUUGAGGACGGUAGAGGGAGACGGAACUGCUGGUGUAGGGGUGAAAUCCGUAGAUAUCAGCAGGAACGCCGGUGGGGAAGCCGGUCUCCUGGGCCGCGCCCGACGCUGAGACCCGAAAGCUAGGGGAGCAAACCGG